rnacentral:rRNA from 1 species
UACCAGACUCCUACGGGAGGCAGCAGUGGGGAAUAUUGCACAAUGGGGGAAACCCUGAUGCAGCAACGCCGCGUGAGUGAAGAAGUAUUUCGGUAUGUAAAGCUCUAUCAGCAGGGAAGAAAAUGACGGUACCUGAGUAAGAAGCCCCGGCUAACUACGUGCCAGCAGCCGCGGUAAUACGUAGGGGGCAAGCGUUAUCCGGAUUUACUGGGUGUAAAGGGAGCGUAGACGGCGAUGCAAGUCUGAAGUGAAAGCCCGGGGCUCAACCCCGGGCAUGCAUUGGAAACUGGCGGGCUGGAGUGCCGGAGAGGUAAGCGGAAUUCCUAGUGUAGCGGUGAAAUGCGUAGAUAUUAGGAGGAACACCAGUGGCGAAGGCGGCUUACUGGACGGCAACUGACGCUGAGGCUCGAAAGCGUGGGGAGCAAACAGGAUUAGAUACCCCAGUAAA